rnacentral:rRNA from 1 species
UGAGGAAUAUUGGUCAAUGGGCGAGAGCCUGAACCAGCCAAGUAGCGUGCAGGAAGACGGCCCUAUGGGUUGUAAACUGCUUUUAUGCGGGGAUAAAGUGUGGGACGUGUCCCUUAUUGCAGGUACCGCAUGAAUAAGGACCGGCUAAUUCCGUGCCAGCAGCCGCGGUAAUACGGAAGGUCCGGGCGUUAUCCGGAUUCAUUGGGUUUAAAGGGAGCGUAGGCCGCCUUUUAAGCGUGUUGUGAAAUGUCCUGGCUCAACCAGGGCACUGCAGCGCGAACUGGAGGGCUUGAGUGCGCACGACGCAGGCGGAAUUCGUGGUGUAGCGGUGAAAUGCUUAGAUAUCACGAAGAACCCCGAUUGCGAAGGCAGCUUGC